rnacentral:rRNA from 1 species
AGCAGUAGCCACGGUAAUACGAAGGGGGCUAGCGUUGCUCGGAAUUACUGGGCGUAAAGGGAGCGUAGGCGGACAUUUAAGUCAGGGGUGAAAUCCCAGAGCUCAACUCUGGAACUGCCUUUGAUACUGGGUGUCUUGAGUGUGAUAGAGGUAUGUGGAACUCCGAGUGUAGAGGUGAAAUUCGUAGAUAUUCGGAAGAACACCAGUGGCGAAGGCGACAUACUGGAUCAUUACUGACGCUGAGGCUCGAAAGCGUGGGGAGCAAACAGGAUUAGAUACCCGCGUAGUCCCUGUCUCUUAUAA